rnacentral:rRNA from 1 species
ACAUGGGGAACCUGAUCAUCAUGCCACGUGUGUGAAGAAGGCCUUCGGGUUGUAAAGCACUUUUGUCAGGAACGAAACGGUGGGGGCUAAUAUCUCCUGCUAAUGACGGUACCUGAAGAAUAAGCACCGGCUAACUACGUGCCAGCAGCCGCGGUAAUACGUAGGGUGCGAGCGUUAAUCGGAAUUACUGGGCGUAAAGCGUGCGCAGGCGGUUGUGCAAGACAGAUGUGAAAUCCCCGGGCUUAACCUGGGAAUUGCAUUUGUGACUGCACGGCUAGAGUGUGUCAGAGGGGGGUAGAAUUCCGCGUGUAGCAGUGAAAUGCGUAGAUAUGUGGAGGAAUACCGAUGGCGAAGGCAGCCCCCUGGGAUAACACUGACGCUCAUGCACGAAAGCGUGGGGAGCAAACAGGAUUAGAUACCCUGGUAGUCCACGCCCUAAACGAUGUCUACUAGUUGUCGGGUCUUAACUGACUUGGUAACGCAGCUAACGCGUGAAGUAGACCGCCUGGGGAGUACGGUCGCAAGAUUAAAACUCAAAGGAAUUGACGGGGACCCGAACAAGCGGUGGAUGAUGUGGAUUAAUUCGAUGCAACGCGAAAAACCUUACCUACCCUUGACAUGUACGGAAACCUG